rnacentral:rRNA from 1 species
GAUCAUGGCUCAGGACGAACGCUGGCGGCAUGCUUCAUACAUGCAAGUCGAACGAUAAGGUCUCUUCGGAGAUACAUAAGUGGCGGACGGGUGAGUAAUAUGUAGGAAAUCUGCCCUUGAGAGGGGGACAACAGAGGGAAACUUCUGCUAAUACCCCAUAUGAGCGUACCUGAAAUGGUAUUCUUGAAAACUCCGGUGCUCAAGGAUGAGCCUGCAUCUGAUUAGCUUGUUGGCGGUGUAAUGGACCACCAAGGCGACGAUCAGUAGCUGGUUUGAGAGGAUGAUCAGCCACAAUGGGACUGAGACACGGCCCAUACUCCUACGGGAGGCAGCAGUAGGGAAUUUUGCGCAAUGGGCGAAAGCCUGAACCGCAGCAAUGCCGCGUGAACGUAGAAGCCCUUCGGGGUGUAAAGUUCUGUCAGUGGGGACGAAUAAUGACGGUACCCACAGAGGAAGCACCGGCUAACUCCGUGCCAGCAGCGGC